UACGUAGGGUGCGAGCGUUAAUCGGAAUUACUGGGCGUAAAGUGUGCGCAGGCGGCCGCGCAAGUCGAGUGUGAAAUCCCCCGAGCUUAACUUGGGAAUUGCGCUCGAAACUACGUGGCUGGAGUGUGGCAGAGGAAGGUGGAAUUCCACGUGUAGCGGUGAAAAUGCGUAGAGAUGUGGAGGAACACCGAUGGCGAAGGCAGCCUUCUGGGCCAACACUGACGCUCAUGCACGAAAGCGUGGGGAGCAAACAGG
rnacentral:rRNA from 1 species